AGCCGCCGCGGUAACACCGGCGGCCCGAGUGGUGAUCGUGAUUAUUGGGUCUAAAGGGUCCGUAGCCGGUUGGUCAGUCCUCCGGGAAAUCUGAUAGCUCAACUAUUAGGCUUUCGGGGGAUACUGCCAGACUUGGAACCGGGAGAGGUAAGAGGUACUACAGGGGUAGGAGUGAAAUCUUGUAAUCCCUGUGGGACCACCUGUGGCGAAGGCGUCUUACCAGAACGGGUUCGACGGUGAGGGACGAAAGCUAGGGGCACGAACCGGAUUAGAUACCCGGGUAGUCCCAGCCGUAAACGAUGCUCGCUAGGUGUCAGGCAUGGCGCGACCGUGUCUGGUGCCGCAGGGAAGCCGUGAAGCGAGCCACCUGGGAAGUACGGCCGCAAGGCUGAAACUUAAAGGAAUUGGCGGGGGAGCACAACAACGGGUGGAGCCUGCGGUUUAAUUGGACUCAACGCCGGACAACUCACCGGGGGCGACAGCAAUAUGUAGGCCAAGCUGAAGACUUUGCCUGAAUCGCUGAGAGGAGAGGUGCAUGG
rnacentral:rRNA from 1 species